AGAUCAAAUUGUUGGUCGUGCCUUGGUACGUACUGGCAUUAUUGAUUUCUCCCUUCUGAAGAACUACGAUGUCAUUAAUUUGGUGUCAUGGGGAAUCAGGACUGUUACUUUGAAAAAAUUAGAGUGUUUAAAGCAGGCUAACGCUUGAAUACAUUAGCAUGGAAUAAUGAAAUAGGACGUUUGAUUCUAUUUUGUUGGUUUCUAGGAUCGACGUA
rnacentral:rRNA from 1 species